rnacentral:ncRNA from 1 species
GAUAAUCCUGUGAUAAGGAAGAGUAGUUUUAGAUGCAUGGUUCUAGAGAGUUGAGAAUGGUGGGAUCUCAAUACCAAAGUUUAUUAUGAAUGGGCCUUUGAGGAAUAAAGUGAAAUCUUUUUGGAGAGUAGCCUAAUCGUAAAUCCCACGUUAUAGGGAUAAAGAUAUGUUAGUAUCUUUAAGAGUGGCGUAUUUACGCAAUUUAGGUGGCACCACGGAUUAUAGUCUCCGUCCUAUUA